CCUCUUCCUCUAGUCCUGUGGGGUGUUAUAUGUAAUGGUGUACCUCCUCUUCCUCUAGUCCUGUGGGGUGUUAUAUGUAAUGGUGUCCCUCCUCUUCCUCUAGUCCUGUGGGGUGUUAUAUGUAAUGGUGUACCUCCUCUUCCUCUAGUCCUGUGGGGUGUUAUAUGUAAUGGUGUGUCCCUCCUCUUCCUCUAGUCCUGUGGGGUGUUAUAUGUAAUGGUGUGUCCCUCCUCUUCCUCUAGUCCUGUGGGGUGUUAUAUGUAAUGGUGUUUACCUCCUCUUCCUCUAGUCCUGUGGGGUGUUAUAUGUAAUGGUGUUUACCUCCUCUUCCUCUAGUCCUGUGGGGUGUUAUAUGUAAUGGUGUUUACCUCCUCUUCCUCUAGUCCUGUGAGGUGUUAUAUGUAAUGGUGUCCCUCCUCUUCCUCUAGUCCUGUGGGGUGUUAUAUGUAAUGGUGUUUACCUCCUCUUCCUCUAGUCCUGUGGGGUGUUAUAUGUAAUGGUGUCCCUCCUCUUCCUCUAGUCCUGUGAGGUGUUAUAUGUAAUGGUGUUUACCUCCUCUUCCUCUAGUCCUGUGAGGUGUUAUAUGUAAUGGUGUCCCUCCUCUUCCUCUAGUCCUGUGGGGUGUUAUAUGUAAUGGUGUACCUCCUCUUCCUCUAGUCCUGUGGGGUGUUAUAUGUAAUGGUGUCCCUCCUCUUCCUCUAGUCCUGUGAGGUGUUAUAUGUAAUGGUGUUUACCUCCUCUUCCUCUAGUCCUGUGGGGUGUUAUAUGUAAUGGUGUCCCUCCUCUUCCUCUAGUCCUGUGGGGUGUUAUA